rnacentral:rRNA from 1 species
UAAGAAUCUUCCGCAAUGGGCGAAAGCCUGACGGAGCGACGCCGCGUGAACGAAGAAGGCCGUGAGGUUGUAAAGUUCUUUUCGGGAGGGGGAACGAGCCUGCCAGGCAAUGGGCGGGCGCUGACGUGAAUCCCGGAAUAAGCCCCGGCUAACUACGUGCCAGCAGCCGCGGUAACACGUAGGGGGCGAGCGUUGUUCGGAAUCAUUGGGCGUAAAGGGCGUGCAGGCGGCCGCCAAAGUCCGGCGUGAAAGACCCAGGCUCAACCUGGGGGGUGCGCCGGAUACUGGGCGGCUUGAGUACAGGAGGGGACGGCGGAAUUCCAGGUGUAGGGGUGAAAUCUGUAGAUAUCUGGAGGAACACCGAUGGCGAAGGCAGCCGUCUGGCCAUGUACUGACGCUGAGGCGCGAAGGUGCGGGGAGCAAACA